AUGGAUUGAAGAUUUCCAAAAUUUGCAACUGAAACUCACAUCAUGUGAUAUUUUCAAAUGUACUUUUCUAAAUGGUGAUGGCAACCAUGGAUCAACCCAUUGGCAGACAUGAGGUACCAGCAUGGAGAAAGAGAUAGCUACUCCACGGCAGGAGAACCCUACUUGUAUGGCCUCAUGGCUUUCAUUAAGAAGCAUUCCAUGCAGCAGAUUUCCACCAUCCCAUCCUGCUGGGAGCCAGUGUGGAGAAUCCCGCCCAAGGCAAAGGUCAUGAGGAAGAGGCCUGAUGGGCAAAGGGGAGAUCAGGCCUUGAGGGGCCCCCCUUCUCAAGCAUCUACCCCAAAACCAGAAUCUGUCUGUCUUACUAUUUUAUGUCUUUCACCAACUCUUCUGACAUUAACAGGGGGUGGAAAUCUGCUGCAUGUAUUCUGCAUUUGGAUGGAAUGUGCUGAAGAUAUCAGUUAGGUCUGUUUGCUCUAAUAUUUCCUUUUAGGCUUAUGUUUCUUUACUAACUUUCUGUUCUGUUGAUCUGUCCAUUGGUAUAGGUGUGGUGUUAACAUGCCCUACUAUUAUUGUGUUACUAUCAAUUUCCCCUUUUAAGUCAGUUAGUGUUUAACUUAUAUAUUGUGGUGCUCCUAUGUUGGGUACAUAAAUAGUUAAAACUGUUAUGUGUUUUCUUGGACUGACCCCUUGAUCAUUUGGUAGUGUCCUUCUUUAUCUCUGAUAAUAGUUUUGAUUUUCUGGUCUAUUUUUUUCUGAUAUGAGAAUUGCCAAUCUGGCUUUCUUUUGAUUUCCAUUUGCAUGGAAUAUCUCUUUCCGUCCUCUCACUUUCAGUCUGCAUGUGUCUCUAGGACUGAAGAGGGUCUCUUGUAGACAGCAUAUUUGUGGGUCUUGUUUUCAUAUCCGUUCAGCCAGUCUGUGUGUUUUGGCAAGAAUGGCAGAAGAUAAUAGCAAAUAAAGCAAUUGAUAAAGGAUUGCUUUCCAAAAUACAAGCAUCUCAAACAACUCAGUCAUCAAAAGCCAAGGGAAGAACUGCAAAAAUAAACUAGUGAGACCACAUCAAACUCAAAACCUUCUGCAUAGUAAAAGAAGCCAUCCAUAAAAUGAAAAUGGAAUUCUAUUUCAAAAUUGAAACACCUAGUCAGGAAAAGUAGGGGACCUCAAUAAUACAUGGAUAGAAAGUCAUUUAAAACUGAGCAUUACCGGAUUAUAAUUUGGAGGAAUGUAUUAUUUCUAAUACUAUUGUAAUUUUAUUCCCUUUAAUUCUCUGCUAUACUAGGUUGAUAUUUAUUUAAAAUAGUAAUACAGCCAUUAAGGAGAACAGGGUGGAGAUUCCUUUAAAACUGGAAAUAGAACUGCCACAUGACCCAGCAAUCCCACUGCUGGGCAUACACAGCGAGGGAACGAGAAUUGAAAGAAACAUGUGUACCCCAAUGUUCACUGCAGCACUGUUUAUAAUAGCCAGGACAUGGAAGCAACCUAGAUGCCCAUCAGCAGAUUAAUGGUUAAGAAAGCUGUGGUACAUAUACACAACGGAAUAUUACUCAGCCAUUAAAAACAAUACAUUUGAAUCAGUUCUAAUGAGGUGGAUGAAACUGGAGCCUAUUAUACAGAGUGAAGUAAGGCAGGAAUACCAAUACAGUAUACAAUUCAUAUAUGUGAAAUUUAGAAAGAUGGUAACAAAAACUCUGUAUGCGAGAUGGCAAAAGAGACACAGAUAGAUAUAUAGAACAGUCUUUUGGACUCGUGGAAAGGGCUAGGGUGGGAUGACUUCGGAGAAUGGCGUAGAAACAUGUAUAUUUAUCACAUGUGAAAUGAAUCUCCAGUCCAGGUUCGAUGCAUGAUACAGGAUGCUUUGUGCUGG
ensembl:lincRNA